GGAUGUGAGGGCAAUCUGGCUUUGUCAUCUGUCACCCCAUUGAUCACCAGGGUGGAUUCAGCUGAUCUGGCUGGCUAGGCAGAUGUCCCUUUCCUCACUCACCACUCCAGGUGCUUCCCUCCCAAAGCUACGAAGCUGUAAGCACAGUCAAAGAGGACAACCUUCCCUAACAGACAGACCAGUCGAGGGUAGACUAGUAGCUAUGCUUUCCUGCUAGAACCGCCAAACAAGCUCUCAAGGUCCAAACAGCAAAACUGAAUACAAUAGCAGUGUUCACUCUGUUUUUUGU
rfam:Erinaceus europaeus unplaced genomic scaffold scaffold00137, whole genome shotgun sequence